rnacentral:rRNA from 1 species
AGAGUUUGAUCCUGGCUCAGGAUGAACGCUAGCGACAGGCUUAACACAUGNAACCGUGAGGGGCAGCAUGAUUUGUAGCAAUACAGAUUGAUGGCGACCGGCGCACGGGUGAGUAACGCGUAUGCAACUUACCUAUCAGAGGGGGAUAGCCCGGCGAAAGUCGGAUUAAUACCCCAUAAAACAGGGGUCCCGCAUGGGAAUAUUUGUUAAAGAUUCAUCGCUGAUAGAUAGGCAUGCGUUUCAUUAGGCAGUUGGCGGGGUAACGGCCCACCAAACCGACGAUGGAUAGGGGUUCUGAGAGGAAGGUCCCCCACAUUGGUACUGAGACACGGACCAAACUCCUACGGGAGGCAGCA